CACGUAGUUAGCCGUGGCUUUCUGAUGAGGUACCGUCAAGGUACCGCCCUAUUCGAACGGUACGUGUUCUUCCCUCAUAACAGAGCUUUACGAGCCGAAACCCUUCAUCACUCACGCGGCGUUGCUCCGUCAGACUUUCGUCCAUUGCGGAAGAUUCCCUACUGCUGCCUCCCGUAGGAGUCUGGGCCGUGUCUCAGUCCCAGUGUGGCCGAUCACCCUCUCAGGUCGGCUACGCAUCGUCGCCUUGGGGAGCCGUUACCUCUCCAACUAGCUAAUGCGCCGCGGGCCCAUCUCAUCGUGAGAGCAAGAAGCCCUCUUUUAAUCCGGCACCAGGAGGUGCUAGAUGUUAUCCGGUAUUAGCCCCGGUUUCCCGGAGUUAUCCCAGUCGAUAAGGUAGGUUGCCCACGUGUUACUCACCCGUCCGCCGCUAACGUUUUUGAAGCAAGCUUCAAAAACGUCCGCUCGACUUGCAUGUAUUAGGCACGCCGCCAGCGUCGUCCUCG
rnacentral:rRNA from 1 species